AGUGAUAAAACUUUUUCUUUUCAGGGCCAAGGAAUAUGAGAGUUUAAUAGAAACAUCAAAUUCUGGCUCUGACUCACCUUACAAGGCAAAACUUCAGCGAUUAGCCAAAGAUCUUCUAAAACAAAUUCAAGUACAAGACAGUGGCUCAUGGGCAAACACGAAAGUUUCUGCUUUAGAUCGUACCCUUGGCGAGAUCACUAGAAUACUGGAAAAAGAGAAUGUGGCAGAUCAGAUUGCAUUUCAAGUUGCUGGUGGAUUAACAGCCCUUGAACACAUUCUUCAAGUUGUGGUCCCAACCGCAAAUGUGAGCACAGGUUCACGGAUUCCUCCUAAGUAAGUAUAGUUUUUUCAUCUGUCUUUCACAUU